UGCUGACACCUUUUGGAAAAGGUGGAAAGGAGAAUAUUUAUCCACCUUACAGACUCGCAAAAAGUGGACAGACAACAGACCGAAUGUCCAAGAAGGAGAUGUCGUCCUGUUGAAGGAUGCUCAGGUCAACAGGAAUGAAUGGCCAAUGGGAGUUGUCGUGAAGGCUCUUCCUAGCAAAGACAAUAAGGUCCGUAAAGUGGAAGUGCGGAUUGCAAAAGAAGGGACUGUGAAACUGUUCCUACGACCAGUCUCAGACAUUGUAGUUCUUAUUUCUCAGGGACAAUGACUGUGGUUGAUGUUAACUAACAUUCCCCGAGUAGUAUAGAUGUGUUCAUUCAUGUUGUUCUGAUAUAAUGCAAUUAUAUCAAGCGGGGAGUGUGAUGGCUCUCAAGCCAGAAGUGUUAAAGGUAUAAAAAACAAAACAAAAAAAAAACUUUGGAGUGAGCGCUCCGCACAUUGGUCUCGGGAAAAUAGUUGGAGUGAGCGCUCUUGUUGCUCGUGUUUUAGUAAAUAUCUUUUUGUGGAGGUAAGCUAGGUUAACGGGGAGGAGAAACAAACGGUAGCUCAUGCAAAUGUUUAAGGCAGUUUUACAAUGCUGGAACUUUGGUUGCGUAUGUCUUUAUGCUGAGCACAUUAGCAAAGCCAAUGUAUGGAGAGUAGUUAGAAAAGUGUGCCUUGCCCUCAAGCGCUUUCCCGCAAAUCUUUAUUGUGUUUCCUGGCCACAAACUCCUCAGAGCCGUUAAAGAGGAGUUUCACAGGAUUGCAGGUAUGUGGUAUUUAAUUUGUGUCAGUGAGGCUAAUCUGAAAAAUGAUGAUCAGUUAAUAACAUCUUACUGUGACCUCUGGAAAUCAAGUAAUACAUGUGCAGGUACACUGACUACUCUUUGUAAUGGUCACUCUAACUGACGUAUCAUUUUUUACUGCACAUAUUAUCACGAACGUGAAGGCCAAGUGGCCCGGCUCUGGUCAUGACUCAUGAAUAUAUCGUAAGUCAACCCUACAUAACACUGCACUGCUGCACUGUGGUAAGUACAUGUUUGUCCUAUAGACUUAUUUCAAUGCAUGCACUACACACACUCACAAGAGCACUUCUAUGCAGCACGAAAUGUGAACUUUCUUAUAGGAGAGAUUGACGGCUUUCUGCUCGAGAUAGGGGUUAAUGCCAGCCAACACUACUGACCCCUCACCCAGAACCUGAAGCAGGCCCCCAGCAGCGCUUUAAUGUGGCACACUGCAGAACAAGAGCCCGGGUGGAAAUGACCAUAGGCCUGUUGAAAGCACGUCUUCAGUGCCUACGUCACCUCAGGGUAACAGCUGAGAGGCCUGUGACAUUAUUGGGGCAUGUGUUGUUCUCCACAAUAUUGUAAUUAUUAGAGGGGAGCAACACCCUGCCCUACAAACACAAGACCCUGAGGAAGACUCCUUCCAUUAUGGUAAUCUGCAGGGUGGAUGGACAUUUGCCGUAAUGUCCUAAUCCAUCAUCACCACCAAUAAAAGAAACUGAAUAAAUGCAAA